UUGAGCAUUUCCAGUUUCAUAAUUACACCUCAUGAUCAAUUUGAAGGAACCCUCCCUGUGUCUUCCUAGGCACUAGUAUUUUGCUUGUCCAUUCCAUUCGGUAGUAUCACACCUGGUCACCUGGAGCCCUGGAUAGUGGGACAAAAGGGCAUGUGUAUAUUUAUAAGGUGCCGUUUCAGAUAGUGCAUAGUUGGCUAAUAUAGUGGCUAAUGUUUAGUCAAGUCUUUCUUCAUUUACUAACGAUAAUGUCACAAGCAAUAUAAAAAUGUACUGCUCUUUUUUUUU